rnacentral:lncRNA from 1 species
UUCAUAUUGCCUUGCCAUUCAAGCUUCAUUCCAACUUCAGAACAGUUGCAUUUGGACUUUAGUGAGUUGCUUCAUGGGCAUGUACACGCCCAUGCAAGCUUGUGCAUGACAUUGCCAAUUUUGGAAGAAAUUUCAAGUGUGCAAAUAACACUUCCAAUUGCUAUAAAUAGAGACCCCCUGAGCUCCUUUCAAAGGAUCCUUGCGCGCCAGCUUUUCUCCCUC